UACGUAGGGUGCAAGCGUUAAUCGGAAUUACUGGGCGUAAAGCGUGCGCAGGCGGUUAUGUAAGACAGAUGUGAAAUCCCCGGGCUCAACCUGGGAAUGGCAUUUGGGACUGCAAGGCUGGAGUGCGGCAGAGGAGACUGGAAUUCCUGGUGUAGCAGUGAAAUGCGUAGAUAUCAGGAGGAAUACCGAUGGCGAAGGCAGGUCUCUGGGCUGACACUGACGCUCAUGCACGAAAGCGUGGGGAGCAAACAGG
rnacentral:rRNA from 1 species